GUUAUCCUUGGUGAUCAUCGAUACCAGAUUCCUAAUCUGGGGGUCACAGGUUCGAAUCCUGUCGGGAUCACCA
rnacentral:tRNA from 1 species